UACGAAGGGGGCUAGCGUUGUUCGGAAUUACUGGGCGUAAAGCGCGCGCAGGCGGUCUUCCAAGUCAGUGGUGAAAGCCUGGAGCUCAACUCCAGAACUGCCAUUGAAACUGUUAGACUUGAGUACGAGAGAGGUGAGUGGAAUUCCCAGUGUAGAGGUGAAAUUCGUAGAUAUUGGGAAGAACACCAGUGGCGAAGGCGGCUCACUGGCUCGUAACUGACGCUGAGGUGCGAAAGCGUGGGGAGCAAACAGG
rnacentral:rRNA from 1 species